rnacentral:lncRNA from 1 species
GGGGGCGGGACCGAUCCCCUCCGGUAGCGCCCUCCUAACAGGAACUCCGGUGACGGCCUGUCACGGAGCGACAGGACUUACUGGACCAUUUAUGUGCUUCCUGUCUGCACAGGUCACAAGUGCUCAAAUUUUUCCCAGUUUACAUGCUUCUACGCAAAUAUGCAGAUAAGGGAAGAUCAAAGGAUUUUGCCUUGCACUUGAAACAGAAGCCUUACACGGGGCACUUGGAGUGCAGAGGGAGUAUGCCCUGGAUGCCAGCCAAAUGAAAGAAGACAGCUGAGAGGAAUUCCAGCUGUUAUGGGGAAUGAUGCUGCAGAAGGACUGCUUAGUUUGGAGCAUUUCUAUUCCAGUGGUGCAAUGUCAAGUAAAUCAACAGGUUUCAGCAAUCUGUAUUUGUUAGUCUAGCCCAGCAGUGACAGUUUCUUACCAUUCAGAGCUGCAGUGGUAUGAGGACACUAAUGGAGCAGAUUCUCUGUUAUAACUAAAAGGAAAAGAGGCUGAGGAUUCUUCUCCUCAUGUGAUGCAGGAACUCAAGAGUCUUUGUUCUCCAAGAUUAAAAAUCCUUGGCCAUCUCUCAAGAGCUGAUGUGGAAUGUGACAGUCAUUUGCUGGCAACCUCACACAGGAUCAUGACAUGAAGUGGUGAAUAUCAUCGUGAAUGUCAUGUUAGGAUAGGCAGGAUAUUAUUGUGUGAUAUAUAACUCGGCCAGCACAUCUGGUUGACUUCAGGUGGUAUCAUGACAGGUGCUUUGCAAGCAUCCAGAGCUCCUGAUUUCUGUAUCACAUGUGCUAGUGGCUUUGCAGCCACCCUUAGUGCUCUACCUGUCCUGCUCUCUUCCUGGGUCAGGUGGAGAUAGGUUUCUUGCACAAACCCCUGAAGCACAAGCAUGGUACUUAAAAUGCCUUGCAAUCAAAAUAAAACAGUGUUUGCUACUUUUACCACCAAAUACUGCUUUGCAAGGCUCUGAUACUUGGCUCCCCUGAGCCAUCAGGGCUCUGUUGAGCCUGACAUGGGUGGCCAAGAGUGGCAGGCAGCUCUGUGGAGCGUCUUGAAGUGAUGUGAAGUUGCCUUGACUGUUGGAAGUUUGAAAAAGAGCAGCCUGCUCUUCAAAAUGCUGCAUUCUGCAACGAGAGUUCAAAAAAAUUUUCUUCUCUAGCCCCUCCUCCCUUUCAGUCAGAUAUGUGCUGAGUUCCUAGGAGCAAGCACCAUUUCUUAACCUAUUUUAGAAGACCUUGUUUUGACAUUCCUCUCUAGGCUCUGUUGCGUGAAAUUAAAGCGAAACACUACUGUUUUCUUUACAAAAGAAGAAACAAAUAUGUUCAUGUAUGAAGCUAAAGAAAGCUGGCAUUAACAGGGUAAUUAUUACAGGUAUGUUAGACAAAAUUAUUAACUUGUUUUUAGAUGAUUGUUGCAAAGGAGAUGUCUGCAUCUGCCUUUCUCAUUUUCUAUGUUAUAAAAAGAACUGUGAAAAAAAUAACUGUGUAAGUCCAGUGGCAGCUUCGGAGGGGGCCUCUGCCACCAUCUAUUGGUGAAUGAGGGGAAGAGGCAGAGUGAUCUGACCUUGCUGAUGUUCCCUUCUAUACCCAGUGCAUUAUUUGUUUCAUUUUGAGCUUCUGGGGUAACAAACCUGUGUUUUCUUCAUCUUUCUGUGUGAGAGACUGUAGUUAUAUCCCCUGACUGGAGAACUGUCCUAGACAAAUCUAAUAGCUGGCCUGUUGUCCCAUAUACCUCUCAAUGGAGCAAAAGGGACUUGUAAGUCACAGAGAAGAAUGCUCUUCGAGUGUUAAGUCUCAUGCUAAAUAAUUUUGUCCUGGUUUCUGGCAAUGGAAUAGGGCCUAUUUUUUCACUGGUUUCAAGAAACAUCACACUGGAGCUUGAGUAGAGCCCCAUUGCUGCUGACAAAGCUUGGAAGAGUGUAAAGCUAGAGCAAUUGCUGGCAUUACUGCACAGUCCACUGAGAGGGGCACUUGUGAAAGGACAUCACUUACAAAUAAAAUGUUUGCAGAAUCAAUCUAUGCCCCUAAAAAGACUGGCAAGAAGAAAAGUGAAGAGGGACAGUGUCAGCAGCUGAACCAAAAGUAAAUCUUCAAAGUUGUCUCCAGAUAAGAAAUCAGUCUAUUUUAUUGGAUUCAUCAACACUGCUUGCAUAUGCAAAUCCCUCAUGAAUAAAGCUUUUUGUAGUGCAGGCUCUAAAGUUAAUUCAGGUAGAAUCAGGGAUAGCAGUGGAUGAGCACAGAGAUGGUUUAAAGGGGUUGCUUAGUUUUCAAAUCAACAAAUUGCUGUGAUUUUACUUAAUACACAAAAAAAGGAAAAUAGAACAAUCUGGCAGCCUGGCGGGAAGAUAGAAUGGUAAAGGACAUAAUAUUACAGCUAUCUUAAGAUCAAUUUAUGAAACUGAUGGCAUUAGAGAACAGUUGUUGAACACAUUUGGGGAACAGCUGUGCUAUUGCUGAAGUGUAAAGACAAAAGUGUGUGUAGACAUGUCGGGGUGCUCAAGAAGAAUAGUCUGGUGGUGGUGGGGAGAAGCUUCUCUUCAUUGUUAAACCAUGUUCUUCCUAAUUUUAACUGUGAGUAAAGAAGGACUGGCAGAGUCAAAUGACUUCAUGAACACUAUUUUCAUGAAAAUGGCAGUUAUUAUAUAUGAUCACUUUGAUAGCUGUAUCAAUCUUUCUUAAAUAAGAUU